rnacentral:rRNA from 1 species
UUCCUACGGGGGGCAGCAGUGGGGGAUAUUGGACAAUGGGGGAAACCCUGAUCCAGCGAUGCCGCGUGAGGGAAGAAGGUUUUCGGAUUGUAAACCUCUGUGGAGGGGGACGAUAAUGACGGUACCCCUUUAGGAAGCCACGGCUAACUACGUGCCAGCAGCCGCGGUAAUACGUAGGUGGCGAGCGUUGUCCGGAAUUAUUGGGUUUAAAGGGUGCGUAGGCGGACUGUUAAGUCAGCGGUAAAAGCCCGGGGCUCAACCCCGGCGAGCCGUUGAAACUGGCUGUCUUGAGAUGUCGGGAGGUG